CUUUGUUUAAAUUGUUUGUCGCC
rnacentral:miRNA from 1 species